rnacentral:rRNA from 1 species
CCUACGGGUGGCAGCAGUGAGGAAUAUUGGUCAAUGGGCGCGAGCCUGAACCAGCCAAGUCGCGUGAGGGAAGACGGUCCUAUGGAUUGUAAACCUCUUUUGUCGGGGAGCAAAAGACGCUACGCGUGGCGUUCCGAGAGUACCCGAAGAAAAAGCAUCGGCCAACUCCGCGCCAGCAGCCGCGGUAAUCCGGAGGAAGCGAGCGUUAUCCGGAUUUAUUGGGUUUAAGGGGUGCGCAGGCGGAAGAUAAAGCCAGCGGUAAAAUUGAGAGGCUCAACCUCUUCGAGCCGUUGAAACUGGUUUUCUUGAGUGAGCGAGAGGUAUGCGGAAUGCGUGGUGUAGCGGUGAAAUGCGUAGAUAUCACGCAGAACUCCGGUUGCGAAGGCAGCAUACCGGCGCUCAACUGACGCUCAUGCACGAAAGUGUGGGUAUCGAACAGGAUUAGAUACCCGAGUAGUC